AUAGCAACAGCAGCGUAGCUGAACAUCUUACGGAUGGCCCAGGGCUCCAAAGGCUCGUUUCCUAAGUGAGAGAGAGCCUGGCUGAAGCUGUAUUACCAUUCAUUCUCCAGCCUCCGAAGUCUCAAAGCAUCACUUCCACCAUACUCUAACUGUCAAGACAAACACAAAGGCCCAGAAACUGCCAGACUGUCUUCUGAAGUGGCUAUAAUAUUUACACUCCCAUCAGCAGUGUAGAAGGGGUCUCACUAUGUUGUCUGGAGUGCUGUGGUGGAGUGGAGUGGCUAUUCACAGGAUUCUUGGAAUGGACUGUAAAAGUCUGGAAUCAAGACUUUGUGUUUCCUCUCUAACAUGUAAAGAGCUUAGAAGUUGUCGCUAUUGCCCUUACAACAAAAUGAAGCUGGACAAACUGAAAAUCAAUGACUUUUCUUGGACUCACUAUACAGCUGAGUUUGCAGAGUAAACCACUACCCUGAAAUCUGGAAAGGCAGGUGCACCCACAGAUCCUCAGCUGAGAUCCAAUUACCUGAAAUAGAAGCUGCCAUUAGGAACACUUAAAAGAGCCUGUUCUGCUGGGACACAGAAUCACUUGCUCCAUCUCAUACAUUGAUGAUGAUUAAUUUGUAUGUGUACCUUCCAAAAAAGAUGGUUGUGUUUGAAUGGAGGCCUUCUGGACAGGAAAAUAUGGAGAGUGCGUGCUUUGGAUUCAAGACUGGGAAUGAGGGGACCAGAAACCUAUUCUGUGGCUGUUUCUUGUUAGGACUUUCCUAAGCCUCUGGAAAAGUGCAAAGUACAAUUAACAUUUGAGUCUGUCUGAGUCAUGAAGAAAUGGAGAUUACUGAAAAUAAUUCAUUUUGGUAUCUUCUUACAUCCUGAGAGACUAAUCUUUCCAAGUUCAUCUGAGGCUCCUCUUCUCCAUGACAACCUCAUCCAGGGAUUUCUUCCUGUCCUGGUGUUUUAUGACAUGUGGAAGGGGACUGUAGCAGGUGAUCUCCAAAGUCUCUGGAGACUUACUAAUGUGCAUCCUCAUCUCGCUUGUAAGGAUAAUAGCCUUCCUCCAAACCUCACACACUUUUGGAGGAGAUCACUUUUUUUAAAGUGCAUGGAAAUGUUUUGAAACAGUGAAAUCUAUAAUGAUAGGUUUCAUAAUUCUAACAUCCACACCAUAUGAAUCACAUCCUUCCUGAGAUAAUGAGCACACAAUUGCCUGGAUACCUGAAGGAAUGGAGACAGCGGCAGAAAACACUGCAGAGAGGUGGAAACAUCCGUUAAUAUUUUAAAAUCCCAUUACUGCUACCAACAAUAAUAAUGGAUGCAUAGAAAUAGAUCUGGAUUAGCUGAGCUUGAAACAGUCCAUCUCACACACACACAAAAGAAUUUCAGAUACAGUGAACCCACAUGUUGAAGCUUUCUAGUAUAAUAAAAAUUUCAACUGUUCUGUUGAAUCAUCUGCCUGAUUGGAGGCUACAGAAAAGAUGUCAUCUUAGGAGUGCUUGCUCUGAGUGAGGCUCAUCUUCAAAUCUGAAUGACCACAAGGAGAUUUGAUUAUACAUGUGAACACCUCAGAAGGCACAGCCCACCCAGAAGGCAGACAGGUCAGGCUGCUUUUUCUUCAUUGCUUGGAUUCAAUCCUCCGGGCGGCUCAGGCUCAAACAUAACUUAAGCAUGAUUAAACUUUAGAAGAAGCUGCCAGGAAGACUGUGAAAUCUUCAUGCCCAAGGAUCCCUAAAAUUAGGAGCAACAACCACUUGGCUCAGACGGUUUAUGGAGGCAAAGGUUUGGAUGGGAUUAGAGAUUUCUAAAUGUGAGUUCGUGUCCUCUGCCAGACCACCUUACUUCCACCAUUCCUCAGCAAAUCAAGAAAAACAGGAGAAAAGACAUGCCUUUCCAUAAGUUAAAUCUAUUCUGUUUUAAUUCUAUAUUAUAUCUGCUGUACAACUUCUUUUGUUUGUAACACCAUAUUGUUGCUAGUAACUGGAAAUUAAUUUUCACAUGCCUCAGCUUAGAAAAAUAAAAAGCAGCCCUGCAUC
rnacentral:lncRNA from 1 species